GAUGAACGCUGGCGGCGUGCCUAACACAUGCAAGUCGAACGGAGUUUAUAUUAUGAAGUUUUCGGAUGGAUUAGUAUAAACUUAGUGGCGGACGGGUGAGUAACGCGUGGGUAACCUGCCUCAUACUGGGGGGAUAACAACCGGAAACGGCUGCUAAAACCGCAUAACAAAGGAAGAUCGCAUGAUUUUUUCUUUUAAAUAUUUUUAUAGGUAUGAGAUGGGGCCCCGUCUGAUUAGCUAGUUGGUAGGGUAAAGGCCUACCAAGGCGACGAUCAGUAGCCGGCUUGAGAGAGUGACCGGCCACAUUGGGACUGAGACACGGCCCAAACUCCUACGGGAGGCAGCAGUGGGGAAUAUUGCACAAUGGGGGAAACCCUGAUGCAGCGACGCCGCGUGAGCGAAGAAGGCCUUCGGGUCGUAAAGCUCUGUCCGUUGGGAAGAAGGCGAAAGCGUUGACGGUACCAAGAAGAAAGCCCCGGACUAACUACGUGCCAGCGAGCCGACCGGUAAACAGUACUCGUA
rnacentral:rRNA from 1 species